CGGGGUGAGCUAGAAGCUCAAUGAGGUACCAAAACUAUGAACAGUAGAAAUCAUGAGAAAACAUUUAUAAGUCACAUAUCCACAUCAAGUAAAAGAAAUGAACGAACAUCACACUUUAAAGGAUACAGAUGGCUCUCAGGAGCCAGAUUUCUAUUUGCAGUACUUGAUCCGAACCUGUUGACUCUCCGUCAACGUAAAUAGAACCAACAUGUCCGUAGACCCCACUUUACACCAAUUCCGUCCACCAAACAUACCCCUAUUGGGCCCGCACACCGAACAGAGCAGACGUGGUAAUACUCGAGUAUACCCGGAAUCAAGGGUCUCAAUACCCAAAGAUCCCAAAACAGACUACCGUAGUUCGUUAUCUAAUCGACCAAGCCCUUGUCGGCCCGAUUCGAAUAACUAGCCACAGGGGUUGAGCUCAGAGGUCACAGAAAGGUCGUUGGAUACAAGUUCCAAACGACGUCCGAACAGAUACAGAUACAAAUACAGAUGACAGAUACAGAUACAGAUUCAGAUUCGCACCAAAAUUGGCAUAUAAACAGACAAGAGAACGAGUGUGAUAAAGUACACCCUCGUCUCAAACAAAAUAAACAGAUAGUGCAGUCAUUUAACUCACAGAUGGCAGGCCAGAAAUCAAGUUAAACAGCAAUUGAGGGAAGUGGUACACUCACCAGUUUCAGUACAGACACGUCAAAAGUUUUUGCCCAAAAUAGAGCUUUAAUCACCAAGAAGCCCUAAAAUAACCAAGGUGAAACAAUUAUAAUUCCACUUUAACGAAUCCAGUACACCAAAUACACAUAUAAUCAAAGGCAUGAACAACCCAAAAACCCUUCGCUCAAGUCAUAAGUAACUCCAACUAGCCUUCAAGUAAAGUUUCGGCCAGCAUAUCCCUUGUGUUUACCUAUUUUCCAGCAAUUAAUGGCUUCAUUAUUUUCCUCAAAUCAGUCCCAACAUGCCAUACAGAAUAAUCUCAGUUCCAAAAUCCAUUCACUAGGCUUAAAGUUAUAUAAAUAAAACAAUCAACCUAGAAACAUUUUCGGAAAUGAAAUUAAGCUCUAAACCAGAAAAACAGUUUUUGACGUUAUUUUGCGGUUUUGACACCAUUGGCACUAUGGUUAUCGGAUGGAGGUACAAGACCCACCUUUUCGAAGCUAAGAGAUAGGGAUACAACAUUGUAGAAGGUCACUCAGUCCAGUUCCUAGUGCAACUAGGUCAAAAAUGCAGAAUACUAAACCAGAACUGCAAAAACAGGUUAUCCAACCACAUUCUGGUUCAACUACCAUAAGUCAGGCUACCUAAGUCCAAAUCAGAUGAUUCCAAAACCAUCCGAAAGCUAAGAUACAAGGAUAAAAUUCAUCAGAAGGCAUCAACAACCAAAUCAGAAGUAUUCCCAGCCAAAAUACCCAAUUACAGAAGCAAUUCUCAAGUUCGGGUAAAACCAGGGCAGCAAGGGUAUUUCAGUCUUUUCACAUGAUACGCUACUCCGAUUGACCUGAAAUUUUGUAAGCACCUCUAAACUAUCAUUCCCUACAACUUUCAUGUUUUAAGCCAAGCCCAAUUCGGCCUCUAACUAUGAGCUACAAAACCGGGCAGAAUGUAGAACUUGGAAACCCUGUUUUUUUCAAUUUUCUUCCAAAACAGAAAUUUCUUGCAAUUUUCCACUUUUUCCACCUUCCAGCUUCCUUAAAUACCAUUUCCAAUCAUCAUAUAUAACCACAUAAUCAUCUUCAUAUGAAAACAGAAAAAUCCCCAAAAAUUAUAAAACUUCAUCAAUUCAACCAAAAAUCAAGAUAUAAUCCAUAAAAGUGCAUCUUAUACUACCACUAAUCAUGAUUGAAGCAUCAUUAGAGGGAGGAGAGGGGUCCUUCUCAACUUACCUUAGCAACACAAGAGAGAGAGCAACUAAUCACUUUAGCCUUCCAAACAACUCCACAAAACAACUCACUAUCACUCCCUUAAGUGUUUCUAUGGAACAAAAACAAGUUUAGAUGGUUGAGUUCUUGGAUUUGAGCAAGAGAGAAUCAAGAAGUUGAAAAGGUUUUCUUUCUUUCUUUCUUGGAGAGAGAUUCGGCCAAGCUUGAAGAAAAAUGGAAGAUUUUUGGUCAAUUUUUUUGUUUUAUUUAGUAAUUGGUAAAAGGUUGAAUAGUAAGUCAAAACAAGAUUUAAUCAUAUGGUGACACAUGUCACCUUCAUUAAAUGUAUGCCUAACUUUUUUUGUCUUUCUCACACCUAUGCACUUGGUACCUCUAAAUAUCUCAUAACACCCGGUAAGUUAAACCCAGUACCCAAAACUUAACCUGACUGGCCGAAUUUUUCCGAACUUUCCGCACUAGCGGGUCCCACGUCCGUUAUACGUUCUUAAUUUUUCAAAAACUAUCUGAUACUAGGAAAAUCAUCUAAAAACUAUAUUAACUCAUAAAAUUAUCUGGAAAAUUUUUCUACUAAAAAAAAUGCAGAAAAGCAUGCGAUUAAAUAAAAACUAAAGCUUAGGAAAAAUGAAGAAAGUACGGGUUCUCACAGCAAAAGCCAGUAAAAAUUUCCAUUAAUCCAAUAAUACAUCUAGUUAAACAAUCCAUGCAAUGCAUUUACAUGCUAAAAGCAUCGUAUGUAAUCUGAAUUAUCAAGUUAAAGUGUCCUGAUUCUCCACAAUUAUAUAUACCUUUCAAAAAGGCUUGAUCCUAAAUAUCAUAAGGUAUAAAUUGAAAUUCUAAAACAUAUUUUGAGGGGAAAUUCAAAGCAUAAGCACGAAUAAGGAUUUGAUAUGUGCCGUAUCUAAUAUUAUGUAAUUAAGUAAAGCAUACCUCUUGGAAAAGUAGCAACAACAAAAAAUGACAUCUGAUUCCUUUGACAUGCCAUGCGAACAAUCGCUUGUUGUGCUAAAUUAACCACUAAAUAGCCAAGAAUUCAUUUAUUGACAACAUAAAUAGGAAUAAAACAGAGUGCAAGAAGAUAUACAUUUUGUCCAUUAUUUGAUAGGAACAUGUUCCAUAGAAAAUACAUCACAAUCACAAUUUUAUAUGCAAUCUAGCAUUUGAUAAAGUUAAAAAUCUUUUCUUGCUGGCACACCAUUUGCGUCAAUUCAACCUUACCAAAUAAUAAUAGCAAAUUUUUUGCGUAUAAACUUUGGAAGUCUUUGAUAUUCCUCAACCAUGGGAGAGGGAAAAUCUAGAAAGGAAUAGAACAAACCAUGAAUUAACUGUUUUGGGAGAAUAUGGUGGUUCUAUUCUCAAUCCAUUUGGAAUUAAUCUAGAGCAUCCAUUUUCUCAUGUGUUUAUUGCACAAACCCUGAGUUUUCCUCUACCUCUUUUAUGGGUAAUGUGGUAUCUCUGUCAUUAGUACCAUAUACUAAUGGAAUUCCAAAGUCCGUUCCUUUCACAAAUAAAAGAACCUAACUAACUAAUUACAGAGGCAACCCCAGAAUAAUAUUCUAUCCUAAGCAUUUUCCUCUAACUCGGAAUAUUUAUUCUAAACUUUAAACAAUUUUGAUAAAAUCCAGAAAAAAUUGCAUAUGCUAUGCUAAACAUAACAAUCCGUAAAUCUAUGCCUCCCGAAAUAUAUUAGAGACAAAAAUCCUGCGAAAAGAUGAAAACUACACUGGAUUUCAUCAGUUAUUUGCAAUAGAUAUAUUACUAGCAAAGUUCCAAACUUUGUUCAAUUACAACAAAUUAAGGGCAAGAAAUGAAGCUGCUUAUUUAGUACCUUUAUCAUUAAAGAGGCAAAAUUAUGUUGAUGUCAACAAGGAAGUAAGGGCAUGGCCAUAGCUAAUAGAGUUACCACAUUUGUAGUUUAAUAUUACUACCACAGAGAAUUUUGUGAUGGUACAGAACUAGAUUGUAAGCAAUAGAAGAAAUAUCAAAGCAACCAAUAUGAACUUAACUACAACAGAAAUUAAUGGAGCAAAGAGUUUGAGAAUUCAAAAGAUGAAUUCAGCCUUUCAUUAAUGAACUUCAAUAACAACUUACAACAAUGGAAAUUAUGGAUUCAGAGAAGAAGGGGAAAGAGAUGAAGGAAAACGUGGGAAAAGGAAAUGAGAUUGGCAAUGCCAAAUAUUCUUACAACCAAAUCUAGAAAAAUGACAAAAGAUGAUUCAUUACAAAAAUUCCCCACGCUUAUAUCAUUUCCUAAGCUUCCUAACUUCCAACUUGACCAACGAGCAUAAGACAUGUGUCCUUCCUAGAAUCUUCAGUUGCAAUGGUCCUCAGCUCUUGCAGAAUUUGCAGAUUUCUAGUAAAGACAUGCUCCUGAAAUCACGCCUUCCUUCAACUUCUCACUGUCUCUCUCUCCACGCCUUUGUUUUUGUUUCACGCCUUCUCAUUUCUUCAUGCUCCUGUAAACAAAAACUGAGUAUCAGUCCUUCCACUCCAUGACAGAGCUUCCCUCUUCAGAAAAUCUUGCCCUCAAGAUUGGAACUAAAGAAAUUGCCUCUCAAUUUCCUCAUCAUUCUCACAGGUUGCUCCGGCUGGAUCAGUUCCCCACCAAUGCACCAACCACUGUACUACUGCAGCAUUUCUUUUCUUAGCUAUUCUCCUGUCCAGCACUGCUACUAGUUCCAAUCUCAAGUGCCCUUUUGCAUCAACAUCUGGUGGUUGCAGAAUUGGAGCAAUAUGGUCCCUAAUCUUCCUCUUCACUAAGGAAACAUGGAAGACUGGAUGGAUCUUAGAACCUGCUGGCAAGUUCAAUCUGUAUGCAACCUUCCCAAUCUUUUCCUCCACCAUAUAGGGCCCGUAGUAUUUAGCUGAUAGUUUGGUGUUGCUCCUUAUAGCUACUGAACUUUGUCUGUAAGGCUAUAACCUCAAGUACACCGAAUCUCCCACUUCGAAUUCCUCUCACUCCUCUUCUCAUCAGCAUAUCUCUUCAUCCUCUCCUGAGCUUGUUUCAAGUUCUGCUUCAGUGUAAUGUCAAUCUUCUGCCUAUCCGUACAUAGUAUUCAACUAUAACCACUCUAGCUUGAGUGUAAGGCCCCAAAGCUAGCUAUGGUGGUGGCUUGCCAUAUAAUGCUUCAAAAGAGGACAUCUGUAUGGUUGUGUGGUAGGUGGUAUUGUACUACCAUUUAGCUAGAGACAGUCAAUGAUUCCACUUCCUUGGUUCCAAGUGUGAGAAACAUCUAAGGUACAUCUCCAAGACUUGAUUCACUCUUUUAGUCUGGCCAUUAGAUUGAGGGUGGUAAGCUAUGGUGAGGUCGAGUUUAGCUCCCAGUAGUGAAAAUAGCUCAAUUCAAAAUUGACUAACAAAAAUCCUAUCCUUGUCUAAUAACAUACUCUAGGGUAUUCCAUGCAUUUGGUUACAUAAUCAAUUUGGGUGCAUCAAAGGGGUGUGAUAGGCUCAAGAAAUGUGCAUAUUUUGUGUAUCUAUCAACUACUACCAUGAUGGUGUUCUUCCCUUUAGAGUUAGGCAAUCCCUCAACGAAAUCCAUAGUAACAUGACUCCAGGGGUAUUGUGGGAUUGGCAGGGAUUGUAGCAGCCCAGGAUAUGCAACAUGUUGACCCUUGCACCUCCUGCAUACAUCACAUUCCAAUGCUGUUGCUUUUAUUUGCUUAUACACCCUUGGCCAGCAGAAUAGUUGCUUGGCCCUCAUGUAGCUUGCCUGUACCCCAGAGUGUCCUCCCAAUUGUGAAUCAUGGAGAGCAGUGAUCAACCAUCUCCUUAUGUUUCCUCUUGAACCCGCUGCCACCCUAUUAUGGUACUUCAACACUCCAUUCUAGUAGCUAAAGUUAGGAAUCUUAUUAGGGCUCAGCACUGCUUCCCUGAUGAGGUUUUGUGCCCACUCAUCCCCUUCAUAGCUUUCUAUCACCUCCUUCACCCAUUCAGGAACCACACUGACCAUUACAGCAUACUCCAGGUCCUCCCCAUCCCUUCUAGGUAAAGCAUCAGCCACCACAUUCUCCUUCCCUUUCUUGUAUUGAAUUUCAUGGCUUAAGUCCACCAGCUUUGCUAGCCACUUCUGCUGCAAAGGGGUUGUAAUUCCCUACUCUAGUAGGUAUUUCAACCUUUGAUGGUCAAUAUUGUCGCGCCCCAUUUUUUGAUAAAUAAAUAAAGUGGUUUAAAAAAAUGUAUUUUUUGUGAUUGAAAAAAUGAAUUGCGAUUUAAAAGAAAAGUGGGCCUCAAUGGGGUUUUGAGAAUGCGACGAUUUGACCCAAAAUUAUAGUUUAAAAAGGGUUUUUUGAAAUAAAAAAUCGGAGUCGCCACUUGGUAAUGAGUUAAGGUGUACCAAGUCACCUAAAAAUGUAUUUUUAAAGAAAAAUAGGAAAAAGUAGUGAGAAACCCUUUUUAAACGACUCCUAGUCUACGUAAACCAAAGAAAAAGGUUCGGGAGUCACAUUUGACAAAGGGGAAGGCAAGGAUAAAAUCCAAGGCACCCCUUUGACCUAGCCAAGGCUAGUUGCAUGAUUUAAUCAAAGAUUUUCUUGUUUUAACCAAAGAAUUUAUUACAUUUGGAUGCACUACAUGAAUGCAAACCCUAGACCUAGGGGUAUUGGGGGAAAUUUCUCUUCAAAGGUUGAGUGGUAUCAAUCACAUUAAUGGUGAAGCCCAAUAACGAUCCUUUGAAGAAGUCACGAAUGAUGCGAGUGGGAUGCAAAUGAAUGGAAUGCAUGUAUGCAAUGUGAGGACAUGAGUUUGAAAAGGUAAUAAAGGGCAAUAAUAUGUAAGUGAAAAUGUGCACGUGAGUGGGCAAAAUACGGUAUGUGAAAUGAUAAUAUGAAGUGCAUGUGUGCAAGUGAUGAUAAAAGUGUUCGUGUGCAAGUGAAGGGAUAAAAGGUGUACGUGUGCAAAAUGAGACAAAAGUGUACGUGUGCAAAUGGGAGGAAAAAAUGAAAGUGUAAUGAUAGAGUGGAUGCAUGAACCUAGGGAAUUCAUGCAUAAUGGGUACGGGGAGACCUAAAUCGUGACUCAAUUUGCCCUUUUAUAGAGGGAAUACAAGCGUGCUAAAGCUUAGAAAAAGCCACACUCGUCUAUAUCCCAUAUUUAAGGGGACUCUCAAGCAAAUGAACCCUAUAACUAGCAUGAAAUGCAAAAAUCCUAAAAUGGAAGGAAAAGGGGUUCGAGGGGCAUGCAAAAAUGAUAAAACUAAAAAGAAUGCAUGACAUGUAAUGAACAUGCAAAUAUGCACUAUCGAAAGGGGAAAUGGCUUAUUGGGUCUAGCAUUGGACUAGCCCAUUCUAUGAAUUUCUACUAGCAUUGGACUAGUGGAAACGGAACAAUGAACCACAACUAGCGUUGGACUAGUGUGGUGACGGGAAAGGGGGCCACAACUAGCAUUGGACUAGUGUGGCGACGUCCAUUCAUCCAUCACAUUCAUUCAUGACUAUAAAAAGCGAGUAGACAUGCGAAUCACUUAUAAACACGUAGCACAUAACACUUAGCAUGCUUGACUAGAUGCAAGGACCUAAUAAAGCGAUUAAACACGUAGCAACGAAAGCAAGCAAUGAACUUAUUACAUUUGCUAACUAAAACAAAGGGGGGAAAGGGAAAAUGGACAAGAAAGCUCGCCAAGCCCUAUCUAUUACAAGCCAAUAGGUGUACACAUACCCCAUAAUGAAUAACUUAAAUAAAAGUAAAAGUAGAUGAAAUAAAUGCAAGGAAUUAAGGGAAGGCAAGAAAAGCGAAGUAGACAUGCAUAUUCACAUAACACGUAGGAGCACGUAGGGUCAAAUGAAGUGCAAAUAUAAGGGGUAGAAUGUACCUCCCUUGAAUCGACGCCCUAACGUAGUGAAGUUACUAAUUUACCCUCCAAAAUAAUAAAAAGGUCAAGGUACCACUUAAAUUAUCAAAUAAAUCAGAGAAAAUGGAAACAAACGUCAAAUUGAAUCACUCGAAGCAUUCCAAGGAAAGUAAACUACUCGUACUUAACCAAUUAAGACAAACAAAGACCCAAUUGAAAAAAUUAACGAGGUCUAAAGGGCCAAUUUAUUACUAUUAUAAACACUAAGGGACUAAAAAACAUAAAAUAAAAUUAAGAAUCUAAGGUGAAACUUACCAAAUCAAACUAGAAAAUUCACAAAAAGGUAAACGAGGAGCAAUUUACUAGUAGCUAAACAACCAAAUGCCAAAGAAUCCAAAAAAUCAAAUUAACAACAAGUCUAGGAAAAAGAAAUUAUUAGACCCUUCAAAUUCAUUCUACAACCCCUUAAGUAUCUACCCAAAACAAAUCAAGAUGUAUUAAAGAGGAAAUGGCAUGUUAGGAGGACAAAAUUAAUUAAGUUUUCCAAUUAAUUGGGCCAUGGAAGCAUUAGAUGGAAGCCAAGGGGUUGGAGUGCGAUUUUUGAAAGUCAUUUUCAUGCAAAAGCCAUGCAAUCACGUAGAAGAAACUUUCUCUGCAACAAAUUUCAUUUCCAGCCGUGGCUUCUUUCCAUUCUACCAUGCAAACACAAUCCAACAAACAAAAAAAAAAAACUUGUAAGGAGAUCAAACAUUCUUCCCCCUCUUCGGAACGCAAAAAUCCAGAAAAACAAGAAUAUUCAAAUGCUAAAACAAAAUCCAGCAACUUUGGCUUGUUCUUCCUAGUUCAUGCUGAAAACUAGCAAAAUAGAUGACUAAACCAGUUUUGGUGAACUGCUGCAACAUUUUAUAACUUCAGCAAAUCUCUUUCCUUGCAACCAUGUUCAUGCCAAUUCUUUAUUCAAAUUAAACACAUUCAUGCAAACAAACUAAGAGGGAAACAUGCUGGAAGUAUUAUUUAAUAAAAUCAGCAAAGCUUGGAACGAAAUGGAAGAAAACAACAAGAUAAGGUCGUGAGUUUCUGGUUCAGCAAACUGAAAUGCAUUUUCCAGCAAAUGCUCAAACAUGCCAACUCAAACCUUACUUAUCCCAUUGAACACAACAUCCAUUACCACAUGACAACAAGAAAAACUGGUCUGCCCAACAACAAAGAAAGAACGAAAAAUGCAGCUAGAGUUCCUGCAACAAACAAGCAGGCUGCUGCAUUUUGUUCUACUUUUUCCUUACACACACAAACAUCAAUGCCAAACCUUCCCUCUCAUCCCUUCAACACCAAAUUAAGCAUGAAAACUGAAGUGCAAAACUCAACUAGUAACUAAGGAGAAGGCAACACGGCAGAGAAAAGAAAAUGCAGCAGCUUCUCCUUGCUGCGUUUUUGAAGAGAAUGACUCUUAAAUAACUUGGGCAACUUCAGCAAUUUCAUACCAUGAGUUUCCAACAAAACUUUCAGAUUCAAAAUACAUCAGAAAUGACACAUAUUCAUGCUAAACUCUGACCCAAACAAACCAGAGACAAGUCGCAAACAUCAAAACAUUUCUGCAUUUUCUAAUUGCAACAUUGCCGCAGCUUCAUCAAGAAAAGCAGAAAGUUUUGCAACCCAAGGUUCACUAUGUUCACCAUGAAUGCACACUUAGACAAGCAAACAAGGGAAUUCGGGGAUAGAGAGGGACUGAAACAUGUAUUUUCCAGACAUGACGAAGAAAACACCAAACUCCAGCUAAUGCGUCAAAAUGCAGCGAUGGGCAAGAAGCAAAUGACAUGUUGCGGCAAGCUUUCAAACACAAACAUAACCACACUAUGAUUCAAACAAACCACAUAGGCUUAUCAAGGAGAAAUCUGUAGAAAGACUCCUACAAUACCUCAUCAGAAUUAGAUGCUGAACACAUAAACGAAACAAAAAAAAACUGAGUUGCAGAAAGGCUAAAUAAAACCCAAAUUCGUUCAUGAAGAUCCUGCAUAAUUUCUAAUCUCCUCUUUGCAAUCCACCAUUCGUACGUUAAAACCCCAAACAAAGUCAUGCAAAAUCUGGGAUAAUGUUCUGUAACUUCACAACCAUGACAUUCAAGGCACACACGACUAACAAAAUUCAACCAAAGACGUAAUCUUUCGAACCAGCACAGCACUUUCUACUACUUCCAACGUCAAACAGAUCAAAUGUUUCAUUCCAACGCAAAACUAUAGUAGAAGAGUGGAACUUUUAGCUGCGGAGAAAGAUAAAAGAAACGGUUACCUUGAGAAUCCUGACACCAAAUUUAUGGAGACCCGUGAGCUUGCUGCGACCUUGAUGAAGAAUCCGCUGCUGGUUCCUCCUCUUUACUUACAUAACUCUGCUUUCUUCUUUUCCUCCCAAUCAGAAACCAGUCGCUCCUUCUUCUAACCCUCAGUCUUUUCUUGCUUUUCUAAACCUCCGCCAUCCAGAUUCUAUGCUCUCUCUAUCUCUCGGCCCUUUCUCUCUAGCCCCUUCUCACAGCCGACCCUCUCAACUCCCCAGACUCCCUUCCAUUUUUUUAUUUUUUUUUUCCGUCAGCUUGCUCCCAAAACCUCUAUCUCUCUCCUUCAAGCUUUCUCACUCUGUCCGUCUCCUCUCAAAACCUCUCUUGCGGCUGCCUUUCUUUUUAGCUUUUAUACCAGAAUCCCCAACCCUAAACAACUUUCCUCAAAUUGCAGCUGAAGGGCUGCCUGGUCCUCUGUUUGCAAGCUGCGGCAAUACGCAGCUUGCAUGAAGCAUUUCUUUUUUUUUUUAAAUUAAUUAAAACAAUAUUGAUAAUAAUAAAAAUAAAUGACAAAAACAAAUUAAUUAACAUUGGAUAACAUAAACAAGAAAUAACAAAAUGCCAAUUCCACUUUUCCCUUUUUAUUUUCCAUUUUCAUCAUUUUUUUUUUUGCUCUUUUCUUUUUUUCUAAAUGAACCAAACAAAAAUAAAAGAUAAAUUAAGUAGAAAUGACUAAAAUAGAUAAAUAAAACCAAAUAAAACAAAAUUGCUAUUUUUUCCUUUUCCUUUUUCCCUUUUUUUUCUUAUGAUUUUUCCUUUUUUCAUUCUUUUCCAUUCAUUUUUCCAUUGUUUUCUUUUUCUUUUUGAGAAAUUCCAUCCUAAAAGCUUAAAAAUAAAAUAAUAACAUGAAAACUAAAAAGACUGAAAAACUAAAAAUGAAUAAAACAAACAUGACAAAAACAAUAACUAAGAAAUAAAGAGUAAAUGAACUUGAGCUAAAAUUUGGUGUCUACAGUUUGCCCCUCUUUGUCUGAGUUUUGAAAAAACUUGAGACAAAGAAGUAGACACCAAAUACUUACCUGUGUUAUUUGACGGUGAAAACGUCUCGCACACAAUGGACGCUUUAGAAACGGGGACUGACUCCUGACAGGAAAUUUUAAAAAUCGGGACUGACCCGAACUGGAAUUUAAACGGGACUGACCCGAAGAAAAAUGUAAAAUGGGAUAGACCUGAACAGAAACGUAAAUGGGAUAGACUCGAACAGAAAAUGAAAAAUGGGAUAGACCCAAACAGAAAAUGUAAAAUGGGAUAGACCACGGGAUAGACCCGAACAGAAAUUUAAAUGGGAUAGACCCAGACAGAAAUGUAAAUGGGAUAGACUCAGACAGAAAUUUAAAUGGGAUAGACCCACGGGAUAGACCGAACAGAAAAUGUAAAAUGAAGAACUGUAUAAGACUUGUUUGAAAAAAUUAUCUAAAAAUUUGCCCCAGUGUGAUGAAUUGGUCGGUGGGAUAACAUCUGAGUCUGACGGGGUGUGGACGGUCAGUGGGAUAGAACCCCGGUCCUGCCGAGGUUGGCGGGAUAAAACCCGGUCCCAACGUAGAUAAAAAAUGUCCCAACCCGGUCCCAAUGUAGAUAAAAAGCGGUCAGCGGGAUAGAACCCGGUCCUGCGAAGUAAGCGGUUAGUGGGAUAAAACCCGGUCCUGCCGAGGUAAGUAGCGGGAUAAAACCCGGUCCUGCCGAAAUAAAACCCGGUCCUGCCGAGGUUAGCGGUCAGCGGUCCUGCCGAGGUUAGCGGUCAGCGGGAUAAAACCCGGUCCUCUCGGUCAGCGGGAUAAAACCCGGUCCUGCCGAUGUAAGCGGUCAGCGGGAUAAAACCCGGUCCUGCCAAGGUUGGCGGCACCAAGCCCAGGGCCAACGUGAUCUUGUGAAGUUGGCGGCACCAAGUCCAGGCCCAACAGGAUGUUUAGGACGUCAAGAGAAGGGGGGAACAGAAUGAUGCGUGGCGUGCAUUGAAGCUUCGCCCACAAGAAAUCAAAUCUGAUUUUUCCACAGACAAGAAUUUGAACUUGAUUUUUGACUUUUUGAAUUGAUUUUUUUUUUUGAGAGAAUUUUCAAAAAUAAUUUGCCCCAAGUGUAGGGCCCAUUUCCCUUCUUUCUUCACUUUCUUCGGCAUCGGCCUCCCACAUCACUAGAUGCUUUUUCGUCAUUUUGAACCAUGAAUACCUGUUCAAGGGGUUCAUCAAAGUAUGACAUGCAUUCAAAUUUCUUAUUUGGAAAGAACAGCGUGAUUGGUUUGACAUCCUCAAAUGUAUUACAAAAUUUUGCCCCAGUAUGGGCUAUUUUGCAAAAUCUCUCACAUGAAAAUUUGCCCCAGUGUAGGCCUAUUUAAUUGCAAAAAAAUUUGCUUGAAUGACCCUCCAUUUAUUUGAACCAAGUAAGCAAUUGCUUUUCCUAACAUAUCAUGUGAAGGAAAUUGAAAUGUCUUGCUUAAACUCAUACAGGAAAUUUCAUGAUGAAUUUCUCAAAAUAAUGCCAAAUUAUGAAAGAUCAAUGCUUUGGGUAAUGGAUCACAAUUUAUUGGCUCAUUUUUCAGGAGCAAUCCAGUGAUCUUAUUUCUGAUUUGGCUAAGGAAAUGGGAGGUCAGAAUUUGUCUCAUUUUUGUGCCCCAGUUGUAUGUAACCCAUUCAAUGUCACAUCUUAGUGAAAGCAAAUAGUUUGUCACCUUCAUUUCUUAAGAAAAUUGAGUCAACAUAUAAGCUUUAAGUUUGCAACAACUGGGUAAGAACGAUAGCUAAACAUGCGAAAACUGGUUAUACCCUUAUGAUCACAAAUGAUUGAUAGAUUUUCUUAUGAGCAUAAUCCUCACUUUGGGCUGUCAUGAAGGAAUAAGUCAACGAUGGACUUUAUUAGUUUGUAAUGUGGUUUGAACACGAUAGUUGAAGGAUAAGUCAAGGACAUUGCACCACAGAUCGCAUUUUUCCAAAAUUGCCCCUAUUUUGAACUCGAAGAUUCUGAACUUUGUUUGAUCACUCAAUAGGGACUUCACCAUCGAAUCUUUUGUAUUUCAUUUUUUCGUUUUGCUUUUCCGUUUUCUUUUCUUUGAUCUGGUGGGUUUUCCAUGGUGAGUAGCGUCAACCCCAUACCCGAGUAAUUCAAAAAUACAGCUAAAAUUUUUCAGCAUCAGAAAUUUUCUUGACAGGGCCAUUGCAAAGAACAGAAGUUAGGACUUUCGGCUUUUGUAAUGGGGUCAGGUGGGGGGCUUAAAAAAAUUAAGGCUUGAAAGCGGAUUUCAAAAGUGGUUUGAAGAAUCUGAGAUCGCAUUGUUGCGCCAACCCUAUUUUAGGGUUAAAUCGGAAUUUGCCCCAGUUUAUGCUCAAUUGAGGCUUUUCCCCUUUCAUUUUCUUUCUUCUCUUGAUUUUUCGGCUUUCUGCCAUUUUUUUGAACUUUCACAAAAAAUCUGCCCCAGUUUAUUUUUGAACUGAGGUUCUUUUUUCCCUCUUGCUUUUGAUUUUGUGGCUUUGUCACUUUUCACUUCUUGAAACUUUUCUUUUCAACUCCAACUUGCCCCAGUGUGGGGUUUGCGAUUCUCAGGGGUUGUCAAACGAAGUAUUUUAUUCUGAAGGCUCAAAAGGGAUAACUAGGGAUAGAAUGCUUGAUCGGAAAAGAAGAGAGCCUGACUUUUAUUCUGUUCCUUACAAUAACUCUGAAAGGAAACUUUCGUUAAUGCGAAAAUUUCUAGCAUGUAUCUGAAUUAAUUGACUGAGGAAGACCCUUGUUCAUCUAUAUUUGUGAAACAUAGGCGGUCUGUGCGGACAAAUCUCUUCCUUUUCUUUCUUUUUCUUUUCCAAAAUUGGAACCCGAGUGGAAUCAAAUUUUCCCAAUCUGCAGUUCCCUUUCCCCUUUUUUCUUUUUCUCUUUUUCAAAAUUCCCCAGUCUCCCUCCCCAAUGUGGGGUGCGAUCAUAUGUGCACUCGAAAAGAACCACCCAUUUUUUGGCUCAAAUGAGGAUGCAAGGGAUAAAUGGUGUUUAGGUUGUAGAAACGACGGCCAAAGUAUCAUUCUUACACCUCAUGACAACCAAAGUAACAAAAUGGUCAUUGAAAAUCCAUUCCCCUUUUAAAUAUUUGAAAAUUUUCCAAUAGAGGGUAGUGAUCAUUAAGGCGCUCAUUUGAAACGAAGUUAUUCUUUCAAAGGCUCAAAUGAGAGAACAAAUGAUAAAAUGUGUAUAGGUAGAGAAACGAAUGCUCGAAAUAUCAUUCCAAAUUUUCAAAACAAACAAGAAUAAUGCACAUUUUUGCUUUCACUUAGAUGUGAAUUGAAUCGGUUAAACACAAUAGAUAUUUUCAAGCAAAGAUAGCCCCAAUUUGUAAUUUAUCAAUCAAUGUGACUGAUUUUAUUUUGGGGUCAAAUGAAGGAGGAAAGGAAUCUCAUAGGGCCUUUUGAGUGACCUCUUUUAAUUCUGAGCACUCUUAUUGUGUAAUUCAAAUCACCAAUCUAGUGUAUACAAGAGUUUUAGAAAGCAUACACUUGCAAAUUUUCAGGCUGGAGGUUGAAAAACCUUAAUUUGGUCUCAUUUCUCAAAAUUCAUCAUGAACUCUCCAAGGAGUAAGAAUAAAGAAUGAAAUAUACAUAAAUAUACACAAAACAAAGAAUUGUCCAAAAAUUUUAUUGCUGAAAAAAAAAUUCUCAUUCAAUUAUGAUACAAAUGAGAAGAGAGAAACUUAUAAAGAGCUCAAAAUAUACACUUUUGUCUCAUUUUCUUUUGGAACAAAAUGUAUUAACAAAUCAAAUAAACAGAAUUUCCCUUUGGAAAAUAAUUACAAAAUCUCUCAGAGGCUUUAGCGUAGAGCUUCCAGAUAAAUCAUUUAUGUUUUCAUUGUAGGAUCUGCCCAAGAAUCAAAUAACACUUGCAGUUUUGACUCUUUAUUAGAUCGGAAGUGCCAUCAGAUAUAGAAAAAUAUUUUCUCUUUUAUUGAAGUGUUUUUUAUGAAUGCAGGGGAGGGGGGAAAACAAAAGAAAAAUACCCCGAGUUAGUAGACAAAACUGCAAAAUCGGUAUGCAUGUCCUAUGGGGGGAACCCUUUUUUGUGCCAAGUGUAGGCCUAGCAUGAAAAUGCAAUCCUCUAGGGUAGGCACCAUACCAUACCUGAUGGAUCUGAUCAACUCAUGGAGUGAAAAAUAAUUUGAAAAAUUUGGCCCAUUGGAAUGAGAAGAGACGUUGGUCAAAAUGAGGAUCUCGUCCGAAGGGAUUGAUCACUUUUGAUCGAUACAAGAACUUGCAAAACGCAAGGGUUUGACCUUGACGAACUUCCUAUCGAAGAGAUUGGAAUUCGUUGACUAGAUUUCUCAGUGAAUCACGGGUCAAAACCCUAACUGAUCAAAUGGCUGGAUGCAAUGGAUGUUUUUCUCAAAAUCGACUAGGUUUUCCAUUUUGAAAUUCGACAUUGAAACCCUUAUUGGUCAAAUGAAAUUGACAAUUUAUUAAAAAUCGACCGGAUUACCCUAAAAAGGGUAAAUUGGUCAAAUGAAUUGAGUGAAAUUUACUCAAAAAUGACCAAACCGUCCUAAAAAAGGAACCUGAUCGAAUGAAAUUGAGAAUUUUAUUCAAAAUGGACCAGAUCAUCCUUAAAAAAAAUUCGGUCAAAUGAAAUCGAGAAUUUAAAAAAAAUUGACCAGAUCGCCCUAAAAGGGGUAAACUAGUCAAAUGAAUUUUAUGAAAUUGAUGAUUUAUUCAAAAUCGACCGGAUGACCCUAAAAAGGGUAAAUUGGUCAAAUGAAUUGGCGAUUUAUUCAAAAUCGACCGGAUGACCCUAAAAAGGGUAAAUUGGUCAAAUGAAUUGAUGAUUUAUUGAAUGAAUAGGCAAAAUGGAUUGGUUAAAUUGUCCGGCCAUUGGUUAUUUCAAAAUUAUUGAGGUGCAUUAGUUUAUGACCUUCUAAAAAUCAAAUUUUGGCCUCAAUUUAUUUAUCGUCUCAAUAGGAGGAAUCGUUUGUGAAUUUCUUCAAAUUAAUGUCCUUCACGCAAGGGAUUUUUACCAAUUUGGCCAAAAAGUGAUUAUUAGACGCUCAUAUUCCAAAAAUCACUCUUAUGAAGACGAUCGGAUCCUACCUUACCUUGUGCACUACCCCUUUGGAUGGUACAAAAUGUAAAUGUGCAAGUCUCUUUGGAUUAAGUAUCCGAGACACAAGGCGGCUUAUUCCUAAUAUGGGAUCCCCUAAAUGGCAUUCCCUUUCUAGGGUUUAAUGCAUGAUGCCAGUUAUUAAAGCAGGAAAAAUGCAAUUCGAAAUGAAACGUGACCUAAGGAACCCUUUAUCUGCCAGGGUAGGCCUAGAAUGAUAUGCAAUCAUUAAUCUAUGAAUGCAAUAUACCCAAAAUCUUUAAACGUGCAAUAACCUAUCUACGAGGGUAGGUUCUAAAAGAAGGUCAUGUCAGACCUCUUAUUUGCUAGGGUUUGUGAAUGCAAUGGGGACAUAAAACCAAGAAAAGUUAGUUCAGCCAGAUAAAUACACAUAACACAUUGUAGUAACGAAAUCAAUACAAAGAAAUAAAGCAAUAAAAGGGAAAGAGGGGUUGGAUCCCUCCCCUCGUGAAUCGUGUCCCUAAUAGGGUAAGGCAGACACUAUCCUAGGUAAAACUAUCAUGGAUGCAUGAGGUUAGGGCUCACUAAUGCAUCUAGACUCGAUAAGCUCAGGUCCCCGAGCCUUCAGACUUAGAAACCAAGGGUCAUCAAUCCCAAGGUUCUUUGUCGGUGGCUCGAGCGAUUCCCCAAACACCGCUACGCACACAUCGUGUCACGGCUACGUGUUUGAGUGAAUCUAUCAAAAAUCCUCAACCUUUGACUAAAAGCUAAAGGCUAUCAACCCAAAGCUUAAAGCGGAAGGUCGAGUGACCCAUCGGAUCAUGCUACACACACAUCGUGUCGUGAUCACACGUCCAAGUGGGUCGCCUAAAAUCCUAAUAGGGUGGAGUGGCGUGACAAGCCACUAAAAGAAAAAUAAAUGAGGGGUAAAAAUAAUUAAAACGUAUGCACGUAUGCUAGUGCUCGUUUGGAGGGGAGGGAUCAAGAACCAACGCGAGGCUCUAAGGUGAAGUCCCCCACCCAAAAUGCAAUGCAAAGCGCGGAAUCACAUACAUAAACCAUUCAUCAAUCAAAACAAUCGUACGCCAAAUGAGUAAGUGAAGGAGUUGGCACGCGUGAAAUGCAAAAAUCCUAAUAAAAGGAAAAAUGCAAUCCUAAACACCCAAAUGUGAUAUAUGAAAAGAUUAAAAGAAGAAAAAGGUUGAUUAAAUCAAAUUUGCUCGGACUCUCGAAUGUCCCCAGUGGAGUCGCCAACUGUCGCGCCCCAUUUUUUGAUAAAUAAAUAAAGUGGUUUAAAAAAAUGUAUUUUUUGUGAUUGAAAAAAUGAAUUGCGAUUUAAAAGAAAAGUGGGCCUCAAUGGGGUUUUGAGAAUGCGACGAUUUGACCCAAAAUUAUAGUUUAAAAAGGGUUUUUUGAAAUUAAAAAUCGGAGUCGCCACUUGGUAAUGAGUUAAGGUGUACCAAGUCACCUAAAAAUGUAUUUUUAAAGAAAAAUAGGAAAAAGUAGUGAGAAACCCUUUUUAAACGACUCCUAGUCUACGUAAACCAAAGAAAAAGGUUCGGGAGUCACAUUUGACAAAGGGGAAGGCAAGGAUAAAAUCCAAGGCACCCCUUUGACCUAGCCAAGGCUAGUUGCAUGAUUUAAUCAAAGAUUUUCUUGUUUUAACCAAAGAAUUUAUUACAUUUGGAUGCACUACAUGAAUGCAAACCCUAGACCUAGGGGUAUUGGGGGAAAUUUCUCUUCAAAGGUUGAGUGGUAUCAAUCACAUUAAUGGUGAAGCCCAAUAACGAUCCUUUGAAGAAGUCACGAAUGAUGCGAGUGGGAUGCAAAUGAAUGGAAUGCAUGUAUGCAAUGUGAGGACAUGAGUUUGAAAAGGUAAUAAAGGGCAAUAAUAUGUAAGUGAAAAUGUGCACGUGAGUGGGCAAAGUACGGUAUGUGAAAUGAUAAUAUGAAGUGCAUGUGUGCAAGUGAUGAUAAAAGUGUUCGUGUGCAAGUGAAGGGAUAAAAGGUGUACGUGUGCAAAAUGAGACAAAAGUGUUCGUGUGCAAGUGAAGGGAUAAAAGGUGUACGUGUGCAAAUGGGAGGAAAAAAUGAAAGUGUAAUGAUAGAGUGGAUGCAUGAACCUAGGGAAUUCAUGCAUAAUGGGUACGGGGAGACCUAAAUCGUGACUCAAUUUGCCCUUUUAUAGAGGGAAUACAAGCGUGCUAAGGCUUAGAAAAAGCCACACUCGUCUAUAUCCCAUAUUUAAGGGGACUCUCAAGCAAAUGAACCCUAUAACUAGCAUGAAAUGCAAAAAUCCUAAAAUAGAAGGAAAAGGGGUUCGAGGGGCAUGCAAAAAUGAUAAAACUAAAAAGAAUGCAUGACAUGUAAUGAACAUGCAAAUAUGCACUAUCGAAAGGGGAAAUGGCUUAUUGGGUCUAGCAUUGGACUAGCCCUUUCUAUGAAUUUCUACUAGCAUUGGACUAGUGGAAACGGAACAAUGAACCACAACUAGCGUUGGACUAGUGUGGUGACGGGAAAGGGGGCCACAACUAGCAUUGGACUAGUGUGGUGACGUCCAUUCAUCCAUCACAUUCAUUCAUGACUAUAAAAAGCGAGUAGACAUGCGAAUCACUUAUAAACACGUAGCACAUAACACUUAGCAUGCUUGACUAGAUGCAAGGACCUAAUAAAGUGAUUAAACACGUAGCAACGAAAGCAAGCAAUGAACUUAUUACAUUUGCUAACUAAAACAAAAGGGGGGAAAGGGAAAAUGGACAAGAAAGCUCGCCAAGCCCUAUCUAUUACAAGCCAAGAGGUGUACACAUACCCCAUAAUGAAUAACUUAAAUAAAAGUAAAAGUAGAUGAAAUAAAUGCAAGGAAUUAAGGGAAGGCAAGAAAAGUGAAGUAAACAUGCAUAUUCACAUAACACGUAGGAGCACGUAGGGUCAAAUGAAGUGCAAAUAUAAGGGGUAGAAUGUACCUCCCUUGAAUCGACGCCCUAACGUAGUGAAGUUACUAAUUUACCCUCCAAAAUAAUAAAAAGGUCAAGGUACCACUUAAAUUAUCAAAUAAAUCAGAGAAAAUGGAAACAAACGUCAAAUUGAAUCACUCGAAGCAUUCCAAGGAAAGUAAACUACUCGUACUUAACCAAUUAAGACAAACAAAGACCCAAUUGAAAAAAUUAAAGAGGUCUAAAGGGCCAAUUUAUUACUAUUAUAAACACUAAGGGACUAAAAAACAUAAAAUAAAAUUAAGAAUCUAAGGUGAAACUUACCAAAUCAAACUAGAAAAUUCACAAAAAGGUAAACGAGGAGCAAUUUACUAGUAGCUAAACAACCAAAUGCCAAAGAAUCCAAAAAAUCAAAUUAACAACAAGUCUAGGAAAAAGAAAUUAUUAGACCCUUCAAAUUCAUUCUACAACCCCUUAAGUAUCUACCCAAAACAAAUCAAGAUGUAUUAAAGAGGAAAUGGCAUGUUAGGAGGACAAAAUUAAUUAAGUUUUCCAAUUAAUUGGGCCAUGGAAGCAUUAGAUGGAAGCCAAGGGGUUGGAGUGCGAUUUUUGAAAGUCAUUUUCAUGCAAAAGCCAUGCAAUCACGUAGAAGAAACUUUCUCUGCAACAAAUUUCAUUUCCAGCCGUGGCUUCUUUCCAUUCUACCAUGCAAACACAAUCCAACAAACAAAAAAAAAAAAAAAACUUGUAAGGAGAUCAAACAUUCUUCCCCCUCUUCGGAACGCAAAAAUCCAGAAAAACAAGAAUAUUCAAAUGCUAAAACAAAAUCCAGCAACUUUGGCUUGUUCUUCCUAGUUCAUGCUGAAAACUAGCAAAAUAGAUGACUAAACCAGUUUUGGUGAACUGCUGCAACAUUUUAUAACUUCAGCAAAUCUCUUUCCUUGCAACCAUGUUCAUGCCAAUUCUUUAUUCAAAUUAAACACAUUCAUGCAAACAAACUAAGAGGGAAACAUGCUGGAAGUAUUAUUUAAUAAAAUCAGCAAAGCUUGGAACGAAAUGGAAGAAAACAACAAGAUAAGGUCGUGAGUUUCUGGUUCAGCAAACUGAAAUGCAUUUUCCAGCAAAUGCUCAAACAUGAUUCAAACAUUUUAGGCUCAAACAUGCCAACUCAAACCUUACUUAUCCCAUUGAACACAACAUCCAUUACCACAUGACAACAAGAAAAACUGGUCUGCCCAACAACAAAGAAAGAACGAAAAAUGCAGCUAGAGUUCCUGCAACAAACAAGCAGGCUGCUGCAUUUUGUUCUACUUUUUCCUUACACACACAAACAUCAAUGCCAAACCUUCCCUCUCAUCCCUUCAACACCAAAUUAAGCAUGAAAACUGAAGUGCAAAACUCAACUAGUAACUAAGGAGAAGGCAACACGGCAGAGAAAAGAAAAUGCAGCAGCUUCUCCUUGCUGCGUUUUUGAAGAGAAUGACUCUUAAAUAACUUGGGCAACUUCAGCAAUUUCAUACCAUGAGUUUCCAACAAAACUUUCAGAUUCAAAAUACAUCAGAAAUGACACAUAUUCAUGCUAAACUCUGACCCAAACAAACCAGAGACAAGUCGCAAACAUCAAAACAUUUCUGCAUUUUCUAAUUGCAACAUUGCCGCAGCUUCAUCAAGAAAAGCAGAAAGUUUUGCAACCCAAGGUUCACUAUGUUCACCAUGAAUGCACACUUAGACAAGCAAACAAGGGAAUUCGGGGAUAGAGAGGGACUGAAACAUGUAUUUUCCAGACAUGACGAAGAAAACACCAAACUCCAGCUAAUGCGUCAAAAUGCAGCGAUGGGCAAGAAGCAAAUGACAUGUUGCGGCAAGCUUUCAAACACAAACAUAACCACACUAUGAUUCAAACAAACCACAUAGGCUUAUCAAGGAGAAAUCUGUAGAAAGACUCCUACAAUACCUCAUCAGAAUUAGAUGCUGAACACAUAAACGAAACAAAAAAAAACUGAGUUGCAGAAAGGCUAAAUAAAACCCAAAUUCGUUCAUGAAGAUCCUGCAUAAUUUCUAAUCUCCUCUUUGCAAUCCACCAUUCGUACGUUAAAACCCCAAACAAAGUCAUGCAAAAUCUGGGAUAAUGUUCUGUAACUUCACAACCAUGACAUUCAAGGCACACACGACUAACAAAAUUCAACCAAAGACGUAAUCUUUCGAACCAGCACAGCACUUUCUACUACUUCCAACGUCAAACAGAUCAAAUGUUUCAUUCCAACGCAAAACUAUAGUAGAAGAGUGGAACUUUUAGCUGCGGAGAAAGAUAAAAGAAACGGUUACCUUGAGAAUCCUGACACCAAAUUUAUGGAGACCCGUGAGCUUGCUGCGACCUUGAUGAAGAAUCCGCUGCUGGUUCCUCCUCUUUACUUACAUAACUCUGCUUUCUUCUUUUCCUCCCAAUCAGAAACCAGUCGCUCCUUCUUCUAACCCUCAGUCUUUUCUUGCUUUUCUAAACCUCCGCCAUCCAGAUUCUAUGCUCUCUCUAUCUCUCGGCCCUUUCUCUCUAGCCCCUUCUCACAGCCGACCCUCUCAACUCCCCAGACUCCCUUCCAUUUUUUUAUUUUUUUUUUCCGUCAGCUUGCUCCCAAAACCUCUAUCUCUCUCCUUCAAGCUUUCUCACUCUGUCCGUCUCCUCUCAAAACCUCUCUUGCGGCUGCCUUUCUUUUUAGCUUUUAUACCAGAAUCCCCAACCCUAAACAACUUUCCUCAAAUUGCAGCUGAAGGGCUGCCUGGUCCUCUGUUUGCAAGCUGCGGCAAUACGCAGCUUGCAUGAAGCAUUUCUUUUUUUUUUUAAAUUAAUUAAAACAAUAUUGAUAAUAAUAAAAAUAAAUGACAAAAACAAAUUAAUUAACAUUGGAUAACAUAAACAAGAAAUAACAAAAUGCCAAUUCCACUUUUCCCUUUUUAUUUUCCAUUUUCAUCAUUUUUUUUUUUGCUCUUUUCUUUUUUUCUAAAUGAACCAAACAAAAAUAAAAGAUAAAUUAAGUAGAAAUGACUAAAAUAGAUAAAUAAAACCAAAUAAAACAAAAUUGCUAUUUUUUCCUUUUCCUUUUUCCCUUUUUUUUCUUAUGAUUUUUCCUUUUUUCAUUCUUUUCCAUUCAUUUUUCCAUUGUUUUCUUUUUCUUUUUGAGAAAUUCCAUCCUAAAAGCUUAAAAAUAAAAUAAUAACAUGAAAACUAAAAAGACUGAAAAACUAAAAAUGAAUAAAACAAACAUGACAAAAACAAUAACUAAGAAAUAAAGAGUAAAUGAACUUGAGCUAAAAUUUGGUGUCUACAGUCAAUAUUAAUAAUGAAGUGAUGGUCUUCUAAUUAGUGCCUCCACUUGGUGGCUGUAGUAACUAAGGCUAGUAACUCCUUCUCAUAGAUGGAUAGUACAAGGUUCUUAGGUUCCAGUCCUUGACUGAGGAAGGCUAAUGGUUUUCUAUUUUGCUUUAAGACUGACCCUAUUCCACGGUAAUAGGCAUCAGUUUCUAUCACAAAUGGUUGAGUAAAAUCAAGGAGAGCUAAUACAGGUGUGCUACACAUGGCCAAUUUGAGCCUCUGAAAUGCCUCUUCUGCUUCUGCUCCCCACUUAAAGUUAUCCUUCUUCCACAAUGUAGUCUGUGGUCUAGCUAUUCCCCCAUAACCUUUGACAAAUCUCCUAUAAUACCCUGUCAGUCCUAGGAACCGCUUUAACUAUUUCACAUUCACUAGUUGUGGCCAAUUCCAUACUCUCAAUUUUCUUAGGAUUAGCCUUCACCCAUCAGCUAAGAUGAUGUGACCAAGAUACUCUACUUGCAACGGAGCAAAGGCACACUUGCUCUUCUUAGCAUACAACUGGUGUUGGCUCAAAAUGCUCAACACCUCAAUGACAUGCUUCACAUGAUCCUGCAAAGUUGGACUGUAUACUAGUAUUGUGAGGACCCGUAAAUUUUCCUAAUUUUAUAUCAUUCAUCUUAUCUUCUCGCCUGCAUUUUUCUUCAUUAUACCCCACCAUCUCGAUUUCUCCAGAGAUUUUAUAAGUAAACAUAGUUUUUAAAUCAUUUUUCUAGUAUACGUUAGUUCAUGAGAAAUAAAGAGUGUAUAUUGGACGUGGGACCCACUAGUGGCGUUAAGUGCGAUAAAUUCGACAAAUUAGGUUACGUUUUGUAUACCGGAAUUAAUAUACUAGGUGUUAAGAGAUAAUUAGAAGUUGCUUAGAUGGAUUAAUCUUGGAGAGACAAAGGGAUAAGAAUAACUGAAGAAGGUGCCAAGUGUCAUGACCCUAUUGCAAGUUGGACUUUUGACCAUCUUACCUCAACUUUACUAAAACCAAAAUUUGACCAAAAAUCAAGCCAUUUUCUCCUUCUUAUGGCCGAAACUUUGAGAGCAAGAGAGAAAGAAAAAAACCUUCAUCUUUCACUCCAAUCUUGAAUUCUAACCGAUAGAAUUGCCAAUUUCUCCAUAAAAGUUGUUUACUAGGGAGAUUCCAAGGUGUUUGUGGAGCUAAUUUGGGAAGAAGAACUCUAAGCCAUCACCUUUCUUGAGAUUUCAAGGUAUCAUGUCUAGCAAUCCACUCUUUAUUCUUAAUAAUGGUUUAUUAGUGACUUGUGUUGGCUUAAGAGGUGAUUUUAUGGAAGAUUUCUUGGAUUAAAGUGAAGUUAGUUAAAUUUCUGAUUUUUUUUUGGGAUUUUUCUGUUUUCCUAUGAUGGAUAUGGUUAGUCUUGAAUUGAUGGUUCUAAAUGGUGUUAAAUAGCUCUCUUGUGAAUCAAUUGCGGUUAUUUGCAGAAAAUUUCAGCUUGUACGGAAAAUUUCAGGUUGGGGUUUCAAAUUUGUCCUGUUCUGACCGGAUUUAUUUGGGCAUGUUAGAGGUCGAAUUAGGCUUAGGCUAAAACAUGAAAGUUGUAUCAAAUGGUGUUAACUAGUUGUCUAAAAAAUUUCAACUCGAUCCAAGUACUGUAGCAUGUGAAGUGACCGAAAUACCCUUGACUGCCCAUGAGCCCUAUUUCGCGCCCAGAUUUCUGUUUUCGUGGAGUUUUCCAUUUUUAACCAUGAAAAUGCAUGAUUUGGCUUUGGAGGUCUUCAUAAGAAAUGUAGGUAUAUGUCUUGGUUUCGAAAUUCCAUAAGAUACACCUCAAUCGGAUUUCAGUAUCCUGAGUUAUUGUCGUUUAACCAUAGUGCGGUUAGCCAACCUGUUGGUGAGAUUCUGGUUUCAUAUAUUGCACUUUUGACCUUGCUACACUACGAACUGGAUUGAGUGGUCUUCACCAAAGUUGUAGCUCUCUAUCUUAGUUUCGAAACGGUAUAAAUUGUAUUCCAAUCCGAUAAGCGUAGCCUCAUUUGUGUCCGUUACGCAAAACAACGUCAAACCUGUUUUCCUUUCCGGACUUUUCCCUAGCUUGAAUUUGUACUUGUACUAUUUGGAGCCUAUUGAACGGCUAUUGAAAUGAGAUUAAUUUGUGUGUGACUUUGGGAUUGAUUGAGGAAAAAUGAAGCCUGGAUGGCUGGAAAAGUAAGCAAAUUUAGGGGGAAUGCUGUCCAAUUUUCUAGACCGUUUGGUUCCUUUAAGUUUGAGUUGCCUUUUGGUAGAACUGAAGGGCUUUUGGGUUGUUUGAGCCCUAGGUCUUCAUGUUACCUUUUCGUUCCCAAAAAUCAUGUUUUGUACCCUUGCAUUAAUAAUUAUUUGGCGAGGCAUACGACUAGUAGUCGAGCCUCACUUGUGCAUUCUGUUUACUCGAUUUUGGAUGUGGAACCUUCAAUUGUUUUACUUUGGUUCUUUUAGGGUUUCUUGGCGAUUAAAGCCACUUUGGCGUGAAAACUUUUGAAGUAUCUGUACUUGCACUGGUGAGUGUACCACUCCCCUCACUUGUUAUUUAACUUGAUUUCUAUGCAUGCAAUCUGUGAUAUGAAUGACUGUACUAUCUGUUUAUUCUGUUUGAGACGAGGGUGUACUUUAUCACACUCAUUCUCUUGUCUGUUCGUAUGCCAAUUUACUGUGCGAAUUUGAAUUUGUUAUCUGUAUCUGUAUCUGUUCUGACGUCGUUUGGAAGAUUGUAUCCAACGACCUUUCUGUGACCUCUGAGCUCAAAUCCUGUGGCGAAGUUACUCGAGUCGAGCCGGCAAGGGCCUGGUCGAUUAGAUAACGAUCCACAGUAGUCUGUUUUAGGGAUCUCCCUUGAUUCCGGUAUACUCGAGUAUUACUACUUCUGUUUCUGUUUGGUGUUCGGGCCCGGUAGGGGUAAGUUUGGUGGACGGAUUUUGGUGUAAAGUGGUGCUCUACUGGACGGGACUGGUUACUUUAUUUGGAAGUUGACGGAGUGUCAACUAUUAUUUCGAUCAAACUUCGGUGAAGCAAGUGGGAAUUUGGCUCCUGAGAGCCACCCGUAUCCUUUCUAUCUAUGGUGUUUGUUCAUUUCUUUAUUUGAUUUGCAUAUGUGACUAAUUUAAUAUGAAGUUCCAUGAGUCUUACUUGUUAUUAUUUUGGUACCUCAUUGAGCGUAAACUCACCCCCUUCCCGUUAUCUUUGUUUUCCUUAUAGGGAACCACACUUUGAGCCGUGAUUUUGAGAAAAGGGUUGAGCUGGUGUAAAACGUUCUUUUGUUAGCUCUUGUGUAAUCAAAACCCUAAUUGUCUUUUAAUGAAGUAUCCCGCUUUUAAUUGUAAAGUUUUCGAUGUAUGUAUAUAAGUGUUUUAUCAUGUACAUUAAGUGUAUUCAUUUGAGAUGGUACCUUACGGUGUAGAACUCAUGCUUCUCAACUUAGUAGUCUUCGAUUGAUUGUUCUCUUGGGGAUUCGUUUAUGCGCUAUAUCGGGUUUGCGUGAUUCGACUGUAUAUCCUCAACCUUGACCCUGAUCUGAAAAUAUCCAGCCCUUAAAUCUAUUUUCGUGAAGUAUUUAGAGCCAUGCAACUCAUCUAGGAACUCAUCAACAAGAGAUAUGGGGUAUUUACUCUUAAUUUUUAGCUCAUUCAAUUGUCUGUAGUCUACAUAGAACCUCCAUGUCCUAUCUUUUUUCUUUACAAGCUGCACAGGAGAUGUAAAAGGGCUAAUGCCAAGCUAAAUGAUCCCAUUUUCAAGCAUCUCUUGUACCAGCUUCUCUAUUUCAGUCUUUCGUAAAUAGGGGCACCUGUAAGGCCUAAUUUGGAAAGGUUUAGCCCCCUCUUUGAGUGAGAUGGCAUGAUCCUAGCUCCUCUCAGGAAGCAGCCCUUGAGGUUCCUUAAAUACACUCUCAAACUUUUCCAGUACCACCUCAACAACUGGAGGUAUUGCCUCCUAUUCCUGCACUUUAUCAUCUACUGCACUCACUCGUGCUAUAACCCUGUAGGCUUGUUUCCUAGCCCAAUUAUGCAACCUGCUACCCUUGAUCGGCUUCAACUGUACUUGACUAUUUUCCCAUUUCAAUUCCACCUAUUGUUUACCCUUCCUAAACUUCAUACUUAACCCUUUAAAAUCAAACUCCAUGGGGCUAUAUCUAGCAAGCCAAUCCACCUGUAACACCAUAUCACAAACCCCUAAUUUUAGUGUAUUAAACCGAUGCUGGAACUCAUAUUCUUGCAUUUUCUAGGUUACAGGUAUAACUAGGCUCUUGGAUUGCAUCCUUUCCCCAUUAGCUACCUUAACUACCAAUAAAUGUUCUCUACUCCCUAGUCCCAAGCUUUAGGCUACUUGUUCAUCCAAGAAUCAGUGUGUACUGCUAUUGUCAAUCAGUGUAGUGAUACACCUUUCCUUUAUUACUCCUUUUAAUCUAAUAGUUUUGUGCUCAUUCCCUCCUGCCAGAGCAUGAAUUGAAAUUUCCACAUGUUCAUCUUCUAGUCUCUCUGCAAUACAAUCACAGAAAACUUCAAGCUCAUUCCUUUCCUCCCCAAUUAUAGUUUCUCUUUCCUCUUUAUCCAUUAGUAUGAAAUGCAUGUGUGAUUGCUUACAUACAUGGCCAAGUGUGUAUGGUUCAACACAUUUAUAGGACAGUCCCUUUUAUUUUCUUAGGUUAAAUUCACUAGGAGUGAUCCUUUUGAACUGGUUCUGGUUGCUGGUUGUAUUCUUAUAGUCUUUGGUGGGUAGUUUAUCAGAGGUUCUGGGAUUGGAGGGGCUCCAUUUGGGGUUGAUCUGAGGUUUGAAUGAGGUUUUUUAGAAUUGGUAAGUAGUAGGUGGAGAUUUAUGAAUUUUCUGUAGGGCUUUCAGGUUUCUCUCUUGAAGUUUUAACUACUUCUAUUGCAUCUGCUAGAGUUGAGGGCUUAGCCAUCUUGACCAUGUUUACUAUUUCUUCCUUUAAAUCAUUCAAAAAGCAUGCUUUGUAAUAGGAAUCAGUUAGAUAAGGGAGAGAAGGCAUUACCAAUGCUUUGAGCAUUUCAAAUUUCUCCAAGUAAUCAUCUAUAGAGCCAAUUUGCAUCAGCCCGUUGAACUCCUCAAUGGCCUCCUCUAGGAUCCCAUCACCAAAUCUCUCACAUAAGGAAGUAGAGAGCUCAUUCCAUGGGAUUGUUUCUCUACCACUAAACACUCCAUGGAACCAAGUAUCAACUCUAUCCUUGAAGUACAAUUCUGCAAUUUCAGACUUCAUGCUCUCUUCCACACCAUUGAUUUUGAAGAAUUUGUUAGCCUUCCUGAUCCACUCCUUUGGAUUCUCCCUAUUGAAAUUUGGUAGUUCCAUCUUUGCCAACCUGGUAAGGGCUUUAUCCUCCCUUAAGUUUGAUCUUCCCUGGCCUUUUGGUUUGCCAUUAGCCCUUUGCAUUUCCUAUUUCUUGUCCCCUUCCUUAGUUCCUACUCCUGAACUACCACCCUCCACCUCCUUGCCCUUUUUGUUAAGUUUUGCCAUCAUCUGGGCCAUCAAGGACAUCAUACUUUCAUAUUUUUUAUCCAGAUUUUUAAGAGUCUUCUCAGUGCUCUUCUAUCUAUGCUCAAGUGUUCUCAAUGCUUGUUCCGAACCAUCAUUCCUAUUAGCAAAUAUCCUGACUGCACUUCCUAGUUUAGUUAAAUCCUUCCUUAACAUCUCAUCAUGCGAUUUUGUCAUCCCAAUGGCUCGUAAUUGAGCUCUGAUGCCAUUGUGAUAGUAAAGAACCAGAUUGCAGCAAUAGCAGAAAUAUCAAAGCAACCAAUAUGAACUUAACUACAACGGAAAUUAAUGGAGCAAAGAGUUUGAGAAUUCAAAAGAUGAAUUCAGCCUUUCAUUAAUGAACUUCAAUAACAACAUACAAGAAUGGAAAUUAUGGAUUCAGAGAAGAAGGGGAAAGAGAUGAAGAAAAACUGGGAAAGGGAAAUGAGAUUGGCAAUUGCUAAAUCUUCUUACAACCAAAUAUGGAAAAAUGACAAAAGAUGAUUCAUUAAAAAAGUUCCCCACGCUUAUAUCAUUUCCAAAGCUAACUAACUUCCAACUUGACCAACAAGCGUAAGACAUGUGUCCCUCCCAGAAUCUUCAGUUGCAGUGGUCCUCAACUCUUGCAGGAUUUGCAGAUUUCCAGUAAAGGGGUGCUUUUGAAAUCACGCCUUCUUUCAGCUUCUCACUGUCUCUCUCUCCUUGCCUUUGUUUCUAUUGCACGCCUUCCCAUUUCUUGAUGCUCUUGUAAACUAAAAUUGAGUAUGAGUCCCUCCGCUCGAUCACAAAUUUUCGCCUGAUUUUUCCCUCAAGUGACUUGUCUUCACUCUACAGAGUAACUAAUUGGGCAAGAAAAGGCAGAGAGAUUGAUGCAUGAGAUAAAGCAGAGGCGAAGAUAAUGGGGAUUGAAUCAGUCGUUGUGACGCCCCCACUUCUCCCAACGGCGAACCCAAGGGUAUCCGCAGAACGCCUGCCCAACUCUCGCCGGGACUCACUACAAUUCAUGGUUCAAAACUAGGAAUAUUUCAAAUAAUUUCAAUAUAUAUAUUUAAAGUACUCCAAAACAUUUCAUACUUACAAUUAGUUAACCUUCAAGGUUAAAUACAACCCAAUGAAAAAUGUACCAUAGUCAUCUACUAUAAUACAACUUAAAGUCUCCAAAAGGAAACAACUUAGUACUAUUCACGAGCACUCUCGGUCUCGAGCCCUGUUAAGGAAAACAAAAACAUGAAAUGAACUAAACAGCCCAGUGAGGUUCCAAGACACUCUAACAGUUUUACUAAAUCAAGUAAUUUGAGCAUAAUACAUGUAUGAUUCAAGGUUACACAUUGGCACAUUAACAUGAAAUAAUUAUCAAUAUACAGAAAUAAAGAUAUUGAAGGAUACGGUGUUCUAGUGGAACCAUUUCGGUCAACUUCACCUUAUAACUUCAGAUCCCCUCGGUUUGUCUAGCCAUCACCUUAUCCCUCCAGUGGUGAUACUCGAGUAUACCGAAACGGUGUCCCAGAGUUCUAACCUACUCGACCGAGCCCAGUCCUGGCUCAAGCAGGUUAGUAACCAAGGGCAGGAUCCAGUUCAGUUUAGAGCUUACAACAUGUGCAAGUAAUCAAGUAGAUCGGUAAACGGUAAGUAAUCAAAUAGAUCGGUAAAUGGUAAGUAAUCAAAUAAAUCGAUAAAUAGUAAAUAGUUCAAAUAAAUCGGUAAAUGGUAAGUAGUUCAAAUAAAUCGGUAAACGGUAAGUAGUUCACGGUUAACGGUAGAAAUUUGUCAUUUUAGUAGGUCGAGUGAGAUAAAGUACACACUCGUCUUAAAACGAUGGAAAAGUUCAUAAGAGCAAUUAUCGGUAGCACUUAACAGUUAAACACAUAAUGACCAUAGAGUAAACAUGUCGUAAAACUAUUCAAGUCACGUACUCCUAUAUGGAACACUCACCAAUUCAAAACAAGUGAGUAAGUACUCAAACAAGUGUUUAGACGUCCGCUUCGAGUUCCUCUUGAAGGUCCCCUUGAACGCCUGAGCAAAUAAUAAUUAACUUCACUCACAAUCAUGCAUUUACCAAGAAAUGAUGCACACUCAUUUAGACUAAAUCAAAGUCUUAAAAGAGAGCUUCAAUUCUCUCAACUCGAGAUUCAAGAGUGAAGUUUUAAAGUCCGAAGAGAGACUAGCAUCUUCCAUGAAAUCGAGUUCAAAACAUUCAAUCGAUAUCGAGAAAAGAAGUCAAGUUCCCGAAAUUGUAUUUUCUAAGUAAUCGGCUAAUUUCAACUUUGCACAACAAUCUUUGGAAAAUCAAAUCUAGAGUUUGACACGUCAAAAAAUGGAAAAGUUACACCGUUGGAAUCUUGGUUCAAAGUACUAAAAGUUCCUAAAAGACAUUUUUCCAAGAUUAUAAACGAAAGACAUUCAAAUUUCAGCCCAAAGUGGCUGACUUGAACCUAUAAGACAGUUUCAGUCUUAGUUUUCGGCAUAUUUUGGAAAUUCGGCAAAAUUCACAGAAAGUGAACUAGCCUCCGAAAUUCGUAACAGAAUAAGAAAUCCAAACAAGGUUUCAAACAGGAUAAACGGAACUAAAUUCGGAGUUUUUGAACAUUGAUAUAUAAUAGUCUGAAGUCGGCUGGAAUUUGGGCACAAAUAAGAAUUUUUCCAGAUUUGAAAAGCAAACUUUGUAGCAUCAUUGGGAUAUCGAAAGUUUGUUGAAAUAACACCAAAUUUUGUACACUUAAACCUCUAUAUGUGGACUACCCUUGUAUCAAAUUUCAUGCAAAAACUUACGUGGGAAUGUAGUUAACAACACAACUGAAAUUCGUAAAAUGUUUCAAAGCCAAUCUGUCUUCUUGCUUUCCUUUCUUUUCAAAAUAUUUUGCACAAUGAAAUCAGUCCCAAUUCAAUCCAUUUUUGAAACCAAGAUCCUAGAAACAACUAUUAUACAUUUGGUAGGUGAUUGACACUAGAAUUUUCGGAACAACAUGUCUCAAAUCAAAUUAGACCAGUCAGCUAGCAAGAAGGAAGGAUUUUCCAGGUUUCCAGCUUUACCGCAGUUUGAAAAUUGAACCAUAUCUCAUUCAAUACAACUUGAAAUUGAGAAUGGUUGGUGGUAUUGGAAACUAGAUUCAAAAGGAUACAUUUCAUCAGAAGAAGUCAUUUUGAAAAUCAGUUCAUAGGUAGUUCGAAUUUAAGCGACAAGACACAGCUUACCACUGUGAUUCGAACAGAAUAGCAUAACAGAACAGGAAACUUUGGUGAACUACUACGGUUCACUCAGUUCGAACUAAAUGGUGAAUUUUAUACUGUUGGAAAGCUACAAAUGUCUAGUUUCAAAUGCCACAAACGGCACUUGAUUUUGAUGUCUGUACAGAGAGAUAUGUUCAAUUAAAGAGACACUGUUCAUCAGCCCAGAAUACGUUUUCCAGUUUGCCUUUCAUUUCGAAAUUUCAACUUUUACUCAACCAAAUCAAUUGAUUUUUGGUAGAAAAUUUCUACACAUCCUAUACAACAUAUCUACAUCAGAUUCAAGGUCAUUUGAGCAUCAAAAAUUCGAACCAAAGCUUCAAGAAAAACUGGGCAAAUUUUCGGCUAAACUUCCUAUGCAAUUCCUUUGGCUUUUCUUUCACUUUUCCAACAAAUCUCAUCUUGUUUAUCACAUAAUUAAUACAAACAACACUUAUCAUCAUCAUAUCAGUCCUAUAUCAUCAAGAUGGGAUUUCAUAGAGCCCACUCCAACCAUUUAAACCCAACAACAACAAUAACAAUGAAGCUACAAACUUCCUAGCAAAGAUCAACUCACUAAAUCCAAGAUUAGAUGGUUGAAUGAUUACCUCUUCUUCCUUUGAGUGAAAUCAGAAAUUUUACACCUCUAAGACCUCAAGACAAACCGUGAGAUGAUGCUUCCUUCCUAAUCCAAGUGAAUCUCCAAGUGAAGUGGAAGUUGUGUGGUGAAUUUGAGUGAGAAAUGGUAGCACAAAGUGAGGUGAAAUGAAGUGGAGCUCUCCUUCUUCUUCCUUGAAGAAUUUCGGCCAGCAAGAUGAGAGGAGAGAGAGUGUUUAGCUGAUAACUAAAUCUUCUCUUGGAAGCUUGGAUACUUGGGGCUAAAGUUUGUCUCAAAAGUCAACUAGCAAAAGUUUCGCGCACACGCGUUUCGUGUCCGUUUUUUUUCUCGGAUUUAUUUCACUUGUGCACUAUACCUUUAAUGUAUUUCCUUUAAUAUUAUAAUUAUUCACUCUUAGUGGUCUAGAAUAAGUUUCUUAAUCUCCACUUAGCCGUUCCGGCUCGAUAUACGUGAAUUUUCGAUUCGCGCACGAUAAAGCGAAAUUGUUUGAAAUCAUUCACCACUAAUGCCUCAAUUAACUUUUCUUAGUCUAUUAUUAUUCAUUCUUAAUUCUUCAAGACUAAUACACUCUCGAAUCGAAUUUACCUCGAAAAACGUAGACUCGUUAUUUCUUACCGAACGAGCCUCCGAAAAAUAAAAUUUUCUAACGAAACGUUUUAAAAAUGUAAGCGAGACAUUAUUUCGUAUAAAUGAAUUUAAAAUGGUUGAAAUAAAUUAUUCGGAGAAAACGGGUGAAUGAAUAAUUAAUUAAGUCAUUAAAAUAAGAUUAAAAUAAGUCGGGUCCUCACAGUCGUGUGGAGAGUGAAACGGGAUAAGGAUAGAACUUGAGUGGAGGGCUAUUGAAUGAGUGCAUCUUUCGUGGGAGAGAGUUCGUGAGAGAAGAACAACAGAGCAUAUUUGAUGGAGAGAUUAAGAAUAAGAGGAGAGCAGAUUUGACUCUGGUGUUGGAUAUCAAUGGAUUUCAAUAUCUAUCAAUAGAUUUCAAUGUCGGUAAGACUUUUGGGAUGAAGAAAGGAGCGGAUGAAAUUUAAUAGCUAGGCUGGAAGAAUUCGGUGUUUUGCAAUGGUAGAGAGAAAAAUUGAGCGCAUCUGAAAUAUUGAACCGGAGGAGAGGAAGAUGAAAUUACAGCAUUACCCAUUCGCACUUUUAUUCUCUUUUAUUCCCUUAAGAUUAAGAUUAAGGUGUUGAGAAAGGUUUGUUUGGAUAGAGGUUUAUUUGUCAAAAUUUAUUUACUUACAUCAUCAUUAUAAUUUUCAAUAUACCUUCUUAUCUUCAUAAUUAUUUUUUUAUCUCACAUACAUCACAUCACAAAAACUGCUACAGUAAAAAUAUCUCAAAUAAUUUACGAUCUAAACAGUGCCAUGCUAUCUUCGCCUGCUUUAGUAUUUAAUAAUCCCACAAAUCCUCAGAUCUCCCCCACACCAAUUUCCACCAAACCAAAUUUACCAUUUCUCUCUAAUGUCAAUCCAACCCAAUCCAAUUCAUCACACCCAGCCAUGAGUAACCAGGCUGAAGCUUCGGACUCAUUCUGUCAUUCUGUCGUUGUUUUCACAUCUCUCCAUUUAUAUUUGGUUAAAUAAAUCCUGUAUUUUUUCUUUAGGGGAUUUUCUUGGAUGAUUUUUCCCUUUGUUCUCGU
rnacentral:lncRNA from 1 species